AACGAACGCUGGCGGCAGGCCUAACACACGCAAGUUGAGCGAAGCCUUCGUGCUUAGCGGCGGACGGGUGAGGAACGCGUGGGAACGUGCCCCUUGGUACGGAAUAGCCCCGGGAAACUGGGCGCAAUACCGUAUGUGCCCUUAGGGGGAAAGAUUUAUGGCGAAAGGAUCGGCCGGCGGUAGAUUGGGUAGUUGGUGGGGUACUGGCUUAACAAGCAGACGAUCCAUCAUUGGUUUGAGAGGAUAAUCAGCCACACUGGGACUGUGACACGGCCAAGACUCCUACGGGAUUCAGCAGUGGGGAAUCUUAGACAAUGGGGGAGUCCCUGAUCUUGUCAUGCCUCGUGAUCGAUGGAGGCCUUAAGGUUGUAUAGAUCAUUCAGUGGGGAAGAUAAUGACUGUACCCACAGAAGAAGCCCCGGCUAACUCCGUGCCAGCAGCCGCCGUAAUAC
rnacentral:rRNA from 1 species